AUACGUAGGGGGCGAGCGUUGUCCGGAAUGACUGGGCGUAAAGGGCGCGUAGGCGGUUGUUUAAGUUAGGAGUGAAAGUCCAGCUUUUAAGGUUGGAAUAGCUUUUAAUACUGGAUGACUUGAGUGCGGAAGAGGUAAGUGGAAUUCCCAGUGUAGCGGUGAAAUGCGUAGAGAUUGGGAGGAACACCAGUGGCGAAGGCGAAUUACUGGGCCGUAACUGACGCUGAAGCGCGAAAGCGUGGGGAGCGAACAGGAUUAGAUACCCUGGUAGUCCACGCGGUAAACGAUGAAUGCUAGGUGUAGGGGGUAUCGACCCCUUCUGUGCCGGAGCAAACGCAAUAAGCAUUCCGCCUGGGGAGUACGGCCGCAAGGUUGAAACUCAAAUGAAUUGACGGGG
rnacentral:rRNA from 1 species